GGUAAUACGAAGGGGGCUAGCGUUGUUCGGAUUUACUGGGCGUAAAGCGUGCGUAGGUGGUUUGUUAAGUCUGAUGUGAAAGCCCUGGGCUCAACCUGGGAAUGGCAUUGGAAACUGGCUGACUGGAGUGCGGUAGAGGGUAGUGGAAUUCCUGGUGUAGCAGUGAAAUGCGUAGAUAUCAGGAGGAACAUCCGUGGCGAAGGCGGCCACCUGGACCAGUACUGACACUGAGGCACGAAAGCGUGGGGAGCAAACA
rnacentral:rRNA from 1 species